UACGGAGGGGGCUAGCGUUAUUCGGAAUUACUGGGCGUAAAGCGCACGUAGGCGGGUCAGCAAGUUGGGGGUGAAAUCCCGGGGCUCAACCCCGGAACGGCCCUCAAAACUGUUGGUCUUGAGUUCGAGAGAGGUGAGUGGAAUUCCGAGUGUAGAGGUGAAAUUCGUAGAUAUUCGGAGGAACACCAGUGGCGAAGGCGGCUCACUGGCUCGAUACUGACGCUGAGGUGCGAAAGCGUGGGGAGCAAACAGG
rnacentral:rRNA from 2 species